rnacentral:rRNA from 1 species
AAAGGAGCAAUCCGCUUUGAGAUGGCCUCGCGUCCGAUUAGCUAGUUGGUGAGGUAAUGGCCCACCAAGGCGACGAUCGGUAGCCGGACUGAGAGGUUGAACGGCCACAUUGGGACUGAGACACGGUCCAGACACCUACGGGUGGCAGCAGUCGAGAAUCAUUCACAAUGGGGGAAACCCUGAUGGUGCGACGCCGCGUGGGGGAAUGAAGGUCUUCGGAUUGUAAACCCCUGUCAUGUGGGAGCAAAUUAAAAAGAUAGUACCACAAGAGGAAGAGACGGCUAACUCUGUGCCAGCAGCCGCGGUAAUACAGAGGUCUCAAGCGUUGUUCGGAAUCACUGGGCGUAAAGCGUGCGUAGGCUGUUUCGUAAGUCGUGUGUGAAAGGCGCGGGCUCAACCCGCGGACGGCACAUGAUACUGCGAGACUAGAGUAAUGGAGGGGGAACCGGAAUUCUCGGUGUAGCAGUGAAAUGCGUAGAUAUCGAGAGGAACACUCGUGGCGAAGGCGGGUUCCUGGACAUUAACUGACGCUGAGGCACGAAGGCCAGGGGAGCGAAAGGGAUUAGAUACCCCUGUAGUCCUGGCAGUAAACGGUGCACGCUUGGUGUGCGGGGAAUCGACCCCCUGCGUGCCGGAGCUAACGCGUUAAGCGUGCCGCCUGGGGAGUACGGUCGCAAGAUUAAAACUCAAAGAAAUUGACGGGGACCCGCACAAGCGGUGGAGUAUGUGGCUUAAUUCGAUGCAACGCGAAGAACCUUACCUGGGCUUGACAUGUAAUGAACAACAUGUGAAAGCAUGCGACUCUUCGGAGGCGUUACACAGGUGCUGCAUGGCCGUCGUCAGCUCGUGUCGUGAGAUGUUUGGUUAAGUCCAGCAACGAGCGCAACCCCUGUUGCCAGUUACCAGCACGUGAAGGUGGGGACUCUGGCGAGACUGCCCAGAUCAACUGGGAGGAAGGUGGGGACGACGUCAGGUCAGUAUGGCCCUUAUGCCCAGGGCUGCACACGUACUACAAUGCCCAGUACAGAGGGGGCCGAAGCCGCGAGGCGGAGGAAAUCCUAAAAACUGGGCCCAGUUCGGACUGUAGGCUGCAACCCGCCUACACGAAGCCGGAAUCGCUAGUAAUGGCGCAUCAGCUACGGCGCCGUGAAUACGUUCCCGGGUCUUGCACUCACAGCCCGUCA